AACGUAGGAGACAAACGUUAUCCGGAGUUACUGGGACGUAAGGGCGUGUAGGUGGUAAUGUAAGUCUGGCGAUUGGAAAUUUUUCGGCUUAACCGGGAAAACGGUCGUCGGAGACUGCAUAACUAGAGGACGGUAGAGGCGUGUGGAAAUUCCGGGUGUGAGUGUGAAAGUGCGAUAGAGAUCCGGAGGAACACCAGUGGCGAAGGCGACACGCUGGGCCGUACCUGACACUGAGG
rnacentral:rRNA from 1 species